rnacentral:rRNA from 1 species
CCCUUAGAUGCUCUGGGCCGCACGCGCGCUACACUGGUCGAUGCAACGAGUUUCUUUCCUUGGCCGACAGGCCUGGGCAAUCUUUGAACAUCGAUCGUGAUCGAGAUAGAUUCUUGUAAUUUUUGAUCUUAAACGAGGAAUUCCUAGUAAACGCAAGUCAUCAGCUUGCAUUGAUUACGUCCCUGCCCUUUGUACACACCGCCCGUCGCACCUACCGAUUGAAUGGUCCGGUGAAAUCUCCGGACUGGCGUGAGUCGGAGCAAUCUGACAAACACCGGAAAGUUGAUUAAACCUUACCAUUUAGAGGAAGGUGAAGUCGUAACA